rnacentral:rRNA from 1 species
UCUCAGUUCGGAUUGGAGUCUGCAACUCGACUCCAUGAAGCUGGAUUCGCUAGUAAUCGCGCAUCAGCCAUGGCGCGGUGAAUACGUUCCCGGGCCUUGUACACACCGCCCGUCAAGCCAUGGAAGCCGGGGGUGCCUGAAGUGCGUGACCGCAAGGAGCGCCCUAAGGUAAAACCGGUGACUGGGGCUAAGUCGUAACAAGGUAAC